CUUUUCAGAAGCGCUCCAACACGGCUGUCAAACAUUGCCGGGGCUUUCUGGUCUGCGGAAGCGAAUGAAAUGGAAAUCCCAGGUAUGCUUUUAUCAGAGCGAAGCAUGCAUGCAGACGAACGAGCGCAAAUGUCCCACUUCCUUUGGCUUCAGAUCGAUGGACCAAUCAUAGUACACUAUCAGACAACCAAGGCUUUUGAUUGGAUACGUCCAACCAGGAAGUAGGUCGCUUUCCCUGUUCGCUAUUGAUGUUUUACAUAUACGUCGCCAGCCUUCUCGUAACCCGAGAGCACGUCGUUAAUGCCAACCAGCGUAGCUUGUCAGUGGGUGAGGAUUGACGGCAACAAUCCAUUACAGCGAAUAGAUAGGACGCUGAGAAGAGAAAUAAAUGUCAAUUUCAUCAAUGCGUGUCAAACGACUCGAGCAUGAAUACAGCGAGGUCGUUGCAUCUCUUGCGAGUGAGGGACGUGCUUUGAUUAGAUAAACAGCGCUUUAAUUAGA